AUAUUUUCUGGAGUUGAGAAACAUAAAGCCAAAACAUGAUAUGGGAAAAAUGAGGCUACAUAGAGUUGAGGAUUUUCAUUGAAAGGGUUGUUGCCUCUCUCUGCGUUCAGCCAAUGAUUUCUCCAUUCCAACAACCCUUUUAUCAAUUUCAAACAAAGGGAGUAUGCUAGCAACAUGUCGUUUGGAUUGUGUUUACAUAUGGUUUCAAAGGGUUUCUAUGCCCUUCAAGUCAUUCUUUUUUCUCUUUUUCUUAUUAAUGCUUCACCGGACUUUAAAUGUUGCCGGUGGAGCUGGUGUAAGCAGCGCUGGUGAGUAUUAUUGAUGGCUUUAAAGAGGCAAUGAUGAUUUUUGCCAAUUUUUAUUCCCUUCUGAGCUGAUCAUCGAGCAUUUGAGAUUAUCCGACAUGUAUCUUGGUGGGGCAUGUUCUCAGAUUUUCUGGGGGGAUUUUGCAGCCAUGGUGUGGUUGGACUCUCUUUUUGCUUUUUGUCUGAGCUUAAUACAGAUCUGAGCCUCACUUUCUCUAUCAGUUUAGGAAUUGAAUAAAGCAAAAAGCUUAGAAGGAUAAGAAUGAGGCUAACAGGGAGUUGAGGAUUCUUCAUUGAAAGCGUGGUUGCCUCUCUCAGUGUUCAGCCAAUGAUUUCUCCAUUAAUGUAAGAACCCCAACAAUCCUCUUCUCUAUAUCUCUAUCUAUAUAUCUGUACUAUAUAUCUAUGAGAAGUGACUUGAACUUUUUGCACUUCAUUAAAAAUCAUCGCAAUAGACAAAAUCGUCUAAUUUUAAAUAGUCAAAGCUGACAUAUGUGUGGCACGUACGGUUAAACUAGUAUUAUAUUAAAAGCACGAAGGCCCUAGCAAAAUGCCGUUUGCAUUUUUUAAUCCUUUUAAAAUAGUGUCCACACCGGACAAAAUAGUCAUUUAAUUAUUUUUCUAAUAUUUUGAAAUAGUCAUUUAAUAACUCUCCCACCGAGCAUUCAGUGCUGCUGGUGGGGGUAGUGGCAGCUGUGGGGGUGAGUAUAAUCGGCGGUUUGAAAGAGGUGAUGAAGAUUUUGUCAAUUUUUAAUGCCCUUUUGAGCUGAUUUAUUGGGCAUUUGAGGUUAUCCGACCAGUAUUUUGGCGGGGCAUGCCACCAGAUUUUCUGGUAGUUUUUGCAGCCAUGGUAUUGUUGGACUCUCUUUUUGCCUGAGCUAACACAGAUCUGAGACUCAAUAUACUGCUCUCUUAGUCAAUUUUAACUAAGGGAGAAUGGAAAGAAUGAGGCUAACAGGGAGUUGAGGAUAUUUCAUUGUAAGGGUGGUUACCUCUCUCUGCAUCAGCCUAUGAUUUCUCCAUUCUUGUAAGAAUCCCAACAACCCUUUUAUAGAUUUUGACGAAGGGAAAUAUAUAUAAUGAACAUAAUCUGUUUGAAAGUUUUUCUACACCCUUCAACUCUUUUUUUUCUCUCUCUUUUUUUGCUAAUGGUUCUGUUGGAGCAUUCAGUGCUGAGUACAAUCGGUGGCUUUAAAGAGGCAAUGAUGAUUUUGUUAUAUUUUAUUCCCUUCUGAGCUGAUUUAUUGAGCAUUUGAGGUUAUCCGACGCGUAUCUUGGCGGGGCAUGCCACCAGAUUUUCUGAUGGUUUUGCAGCCAUGGCGUUGUUGGACUCUCUUGCUGCCCGAGCUUAAUACAGAUCUGAGCCUCAAUUUUCUGUAUUCAUCUUGGAUUUGUUUUAUAUUUAGGGCGUGUUUGGUAUGAAGGAAAAUAUUUUCUAGAGGUGAGGAACAUAAAGCAAAAAUAGCAGAAGGGAAUGAGGCUACACAGAGUUGAGGAUUUUUGUUGAAAGGGUGGUUGCCUCUCUCUGCCUUCAGCCAAUGAUCUCUCCAUUAAUGGCAACCCACCAAAUUUUCUGGUAGUUUUUGCAGCUAUGGUGUUGUUGGACUCUCUUUUCGCCUGAGGUAACACAGAUCUGAGCCUCAAUUUACUGGUCUUUUCGUCAAUUUUAACUGUGGGAGUAUUAUUAACAUCUUCAGGCUCAGAAGGAAAAAAAUGAGUCUAACAGGGAGUUGAGGAUUUUUCAUCGAAAGGGUGGUUGCCUUUCUCUGCAUCAGCCAAUGAUUUCUCCAUUCUUGCAAGAAUCCCAACAACCCUUUUAUUAAUUUGAACGAAGGGAAAUGUAUAGUCAACAUCAUUUGUUUGAAAGGUUUUCGACACUCUUCAACUCUUUCUUUUCUCUUUUUUUUUUAAUGGUUCUGUUGGAGCAUUCAGUGCUGAGUAUAAUCAGUGGCUUUAAAGAGUCAAUGAUGAUUUUGUCAUAUUUUAUUCCCUUCUGAGCUGAUUAAUUGAGCAUUUGACGUUAUCCGACGCGUAUUUUGGCGGGGCAUGCCACCAGAUUUUUCGAUGGUUCUGCAGCCAUGGCAUUGUUGGGCUCUCUUGCUGCUUGAGGCUGCAUUUGUUUUUUUUUAAGAUUCAGAAGUCUGAAUCUGAAUGAUUAAGAUGUUAUCUCUAGAUCUGAAAACUGAAUGAUUAAGACUGUUUGUUUUCACUAUCUGAAUGUGCAAACAAAAUUUAUUUGUAUAUAUAAUAAAAUAAAAAAUACAAUUCAAAUACAAAAACUUAUUAUAUAUCAGAAAAGUAUGUAAUUUAAUAUUUAUUUGUUGAAAAAAUUAUUAUUUGAUUGAAAAAAAAUAUUUAUGUUCGUUAGUGAUAGUGGAGAUGUUUUAUAAUGGUGUUUGCAGUGACAAUGAUUGAUGUUAGUGAUUAGUAAUGUUAGUGGUGAUAGUUGUGAUGGUUGUAGUGACUGUUAUGAUGGUGAUAGUUGAUGGUGGUGGUUGUGAUGUGACGUUGCUUGAUGUUAGUAGUUAAGAGGUGUUGAUUGUGAUGACUGAAAAAUGAAUGCAUGCUAGUUGACGAUGUGUAUGGAGUGGAGUGUUAGCCAGUCAAGAAUUCUCACAUUCAAAAUUUGAAGGUGGCAGAAAUGCGGAUGUUGCGUUGGAUGUGUGGGCUUACUAGGGGUGAUAGAGUUCAGAAUGAUGGCUUCAGUGGAGGAUAAGAUGCGGGAAGUCCGAUUGAGAUGGUUUGGACACGUGAUGAGAAAGUGCACAGAUGCACCGGUUCGUAGGUGUGAGCGGCUAGCUUUGGAUGGCUUCAGACGGGGCAGGGGUAGGCCAAAGACAUACUGGAGAGAGGUGAUUAGGCGGGACAUGGAGCAGUUACAAUUACAGCUCAUUGAGGACAUGACCCUAGAUAGGAAGUUAUGGAGGUCGCGUAUUAGGAUAGAAGGCUAGUGCGGUUUGGGUCGGUAGGGUAGGGCGUAGCUUGGUGGGUGUAUUAUUCUUGGUAUGCUACCUUGUUGCAUGCUGUAUUGCGAUGGUGUACUAUUCUUUGGUUGCUAUUCCUUGUGGGUGGUGUAUUUAUGUUUUGUCAUCUUGUUACGUGCUUUUUUGCGGAUUUGAUUAAUAUUCUUUGUCUUGAGCCGGGGGUCUAUUGGAAACAGCCUUGCUAUUUCUCCGGAGGUAGUGGUAUGGACUGCGUAUAUCUUACCCUCUCCAGACCCCACUAUGUGGGAAUACACUAGGUUUGUUGUUGUUGUUGAUGCUAGUUGACGAUGUGUUGGUGCUAGUUGGAGAUCUUGUUAGUUGUGAUGGUGGAGAUGGUUGUUAGUAGAGAUAAAUUGUAGCGAUGAUAGUGAUUGAAGUGAUAGUAGAGGUGGCGUUACUAGUGACAAUGGUGGUGGUCGCCGAAGAAUGUGUGGAGGUUGUGAUGUAUUAAUGGUAGUUAGUGGUGGUACUAGUUGUGAUAGAUGAGUUGGUCGAUAGUAGAAAUUGGCCGGUAGUGGUUGUUGAUGGUGGUGGUGUUGACGGUGAUGGUGGCGGUAAAUAUAAUUAGGAUAAUAGAGGUAGUAGGUGUGGUAGCGGUUGACAAUAAUGGUUGGUAGCAAUAUUUGUUGUAGAUGGUGGUUGAGAUGGUGGAGGUGGUUGUUGUUGGUGGGUGGUGGUUGACAAUGAUGGUGUUAGCAGAGGUGGUGACUGAUGAUUAUGAAUAAAGUGGCAGUGAAUAUUAUCUAACACCAAAAUACCUCUUCAGACCUAUUAAGACUUGAUUCUAGAUCUGAAUGAUUAAGACCUAUUUAGACAUAUUAAGAGCUAAAAUCUCAAUAAAAAAUAAAUGUACUUAAUGAUUUGAAGUUUGAACCAUUCAGAUUCAGACCUCUUACCUCUAUUAAGUGCAAAUAAAUGAGCCUCGAGCUUAAUACAAAUCUGAGCCUCAAUUUUCUCUAUUCAGCUUGGAUUUGUUUUAUAUUUAGGGUGUGUUUGGUAUGAAGGAAAUUAUUUUCUAGAGUUGAGAAAUAUAAUGCAAAAAUAUCAGAAGGGAAAGAAUGAGGCCACAAAGGGUUGAGGAUUUUCAUUGAAAGGGUGGUUGUCUCUCUGCAUUCAGCCAAUGAUUUCUCCAUUAAUUUAAGAACCCCAACAACCCUUUUAUCUAUUUCAAACAGAGGGAGUAUGAAGGGGAGCCUUGGAGUAACUGGUAAAGUUGCUGCCAUGUGACCAAGAGGUCACGGGUUCAAGCCUUGGAAACAGCCUCUAGCAGAAAUGCAAGGUAAGGCUGCGUACGAUACACCCUUGUAGUGGGGCUCUUCCCGGGACACCGCGCAUAGCGGCAGCUUUAGUGCACCGGGUUGCCUUUUUUUUUUAAACAAAGGGAGUAUAUUAGUAACAUGUCGUUUGGAUUGUUGUUACAUAUUGUUUCAAAGGGUUUAUAUGACCUUCAACUCAUUCUUUUUUUCUCUUUUUCUUAUUAAUGCUCCGCCCGACUUUGAAUGUUGCCGGUGGAGUUGGUGGAAGCAGCGCUGGUGAGUCUUAUUGGUGGC